CAUCAUGCCCCUUAUGCUUAGGGCUACACACGUGCUACAAUGGGUAGUACAGAGGGUUGCCAAGCCGUAAGGUGGAGCUAAUCCCUUAAAGCUACUCUCAGUGCGGAUUGUAGGCUGAAACUCGCCUACAUGAAGCUGGAGUUACUAGUAAUCGCAGAUCAGAAUGCUGCGG
rnacentral:rRNA from 1 species